rnacentral:rRNA from 1 species
AUUGAACGCUGGCGGCAGGCCUAACACAUGCAAGUCGAGCGGAUGAAGGGAGCUUGCUCCUGGAUUCAGCGGCGGACGGGUGAGUAAUGCCUAGGAAUCUGCCUGGUAGUGGGGGAUAACGUCCGGAAACGGGCGCUAAUACCGCAUACGUCCUGAGGGAGAAAGUGGGGGAUCUUCGGACCUCACGCUAUCAGAUGAGCCUAGGUCGGAUUAGCUAGUUGGUGGGGUAAAGGCCUACCAAGGCGACGAUCCGUAACUGGUCUGAGAGGAUGAUCAGUCACACUGGGACUGAGACACGGUCCAGAGUCCUACGGGAGGCAGCAGUGGGGAAUAUUGGACAAUGGGCGAAAGCCUGAUCCAGCCAUGCCGCGUGUGUGAAGAAGGUCUUCGGAUUGUAAAGCACUUUAAGUUGGGAGGAAGGGCAGUAAGUUAAUACCUUGCUGUUUUGACGUUACCAACAGAAUAAGCACCGGCUAACUUCGUG